rnacentral:rRNA from 1 species
GACGAACGCUGGCGGCGUGCUUAACACAUGCAAGUCGAACGGAAAGGCCCUGCUUUUGUGGGGUGCUCGAGUGGCGAACGGGUGAGUAACACGUGAGUAACCUGCCCUUGACUUUGGGAUAACUUCAGGAAACUGGGGCUAAUACCGGAUAGGAGCUCCUGCUGCAUGGUGGGGGUUGGAAAGUUUCGGCGGUUGGGGAUGGACUCGCGGCUUAUCAGCUUGUUGGUGGGGUAGUGGCUUACCAAGGCUUUGACGGGUAGCCGGCCUGAGAGGGUGGCCGGCCACAUUGGGACUGAGAUACGGCCCAGACUCCUACGGGAGGCAGCAGCGGGGAAUAUUGCACAAUGGGCGGAAGCCUGAUGCAGCAACGCCGCGUGCGGGAUGACGGCCUUCGGGUUGUAAACCGCUUUCGCCCGUGACGAAGCGUGAGUGACGGUAAUGGGUAAAGAAGCACCGGCUAACUACGUG